CAGUAGCCGCGGGAAUACAGAGGGUGCGAGCGUUAAUCGGAUUUACUGGGCGUAAAGCGUGCGUAGGCGGCUUCUUAAGUCGGAUGUGAAAUCCCUGAGCUUAACUUAGGAAUUGCAUUCGUUACUGGGAAGCUAGAGUAUGGGAGAGGAUGGUAGAAUUCCAGGUGUAGCGGUGAAAUGCGUAGAGAUCUGGAGGAAUACCGAUGGCGAAGGCAGCCAUCUGGCCUAAUACUGACGCUGAGGUACGAAAGCAUGGGGAGCAAACAGGAUUAGAUACCCCAGUAGUCCCUGUCUCUUAUAC
rnacentral:rRNA from 1 species